AUACGGAGGAUCCAAGCGUUAUCCGGAUUUAUUGGGUUUAAAGGGUGCGUAGGCGGACUGGUAAGUCAGCUGUGAAAGUUUGCGGCUUAACCGUAAAAUUGCAGUUGAUACUGUCAGUCUUGAGUGUGCAUGAGGUGGGCGGAAUUUGUGGUGUAGCGGUGAAAUGCUUAGAUAUCACGAGGAACUCCAAUUGCGAAGGCAGCUCACAGGGGCAUAACUGACGCUGAUGCACGAAGGUGUGGGUAUCAAACAGGAUUAGAUACCCUGGUAGUCCACACAGUAAACUAUGAAUACUCGCUGUUUGCGAUAUACAGUAAGCGACCAAGCGAAAGCAUUAAGUAUUCCACCUGGGGAGUACGCCGGCAACGGUGAAACUCAAAGGAAUUGACGGGG
rnacentral:rRNA from 1 species